ensembl:lncRNA
GUUCUGAUUUUAUUGAAAAACUUGUUCUGUAAUAGUUCCUUUACUAUUGUGAUCAAAAACAUUUCAUCUCAACUCUGAGGCUGCUCUGUAAAUCAUUUUCAAAUAAACAACACACAUAGCAACUUCUGAUCAAUCCAUAUCAAUUUCAGAUCUAAAAUAAUGGCCGUGUUCGAGUAGAGCUGCGCCUCGCCUGGAAAACAGACGAGAGCAGAGGAAGCAGCAGGGGGAGUGGCUGAAAGCGGCGUUUAAGUUGGACACAACUUCCUGCAUGUGUAGCUCGCGGGUGACGACGGAUGAAGAUAUCGCGUUAGAGUUCAUACUUGUUUAAUUUUAAUUUUUAAUUCUGGUGCCUGUUAGCAGCUGAAACACAUCCUCACGUGCUUGUGGAUAUCAUUUAUUCUAUAUGAAAACAUGACUGUAAUAAUAAGUAAAGGUUAUCAGCUGUUCAGUGUGCUCAUAGGAAACGUGACAAAAGAACACAAAACACAUUUCUCUUUAUGGCCUAUAUGUGAUUCAGAAUUAGAAUUUGAAGGACUAGCUUUAGCUUCUGUAGCAGUGUGUGUCUGGGAAAGGCUAAGAAGUGUCAAAAUGUAUACGAUUGUUAAUUCUGUUAAAAGGAUUUGAGUUAAAGAUGUAUUUCUGUUUUUGGGUCGUGACCUGAAGGACCUGAUUUAACACAAGCUGUAAAUGUACCAUUUCACUUUUACUCUGUCAUGUCAUCACGAGCUACUCAAAAAGCUCCAGAGGUGAUGCAACUUCCUGCUGUUAUUGAGUCUGGUGUGAAAAUGGUUAAUGACUGUGCAAAUGGCAGACGGGGCGUCUGGCAUUAGAGCAGACCUAAAGGUGGCUGUGAGCUUGUUCCACGGCGGCGCGGCAAUCACGGCUGAUUUGUGUGAUUGAGAGCUGGCAGUAAACGCUGAUGGUUCAUUUGCCCGGUGAUGGAUAAUUGUUGCUAUUAACAACGUGACAAUGGCCUCACCUUUAUUAUGAAACUCUUCUUCACAGUGUUAAUGGUGUCCGUGCGUCCAUGUCCUUGCAUUUAUUACUGAAAAUCACAUCCGUGUGUGUCCUUCGGAGACUAUAUAGUCGUCCUAAGUCUCACUCAUAAAUGUAAUUUCACCUUUUUCCUCCUCGUCUGUAAUUUCACCGAAUCGUCGGAAUUACGUCGGGAAAGAUCGAAGCUGGAGCUGAAAAACGUAAUAAAGUACUUGAACUUGAAGUAAACUUGCAGCAGACGUAAGCAGAUGCAGCGAUGGUGUUUCCUCUAAUCCCUGCAGGCUGCAGAAUGAAUUAAUACAAUAUACCUUUCUGCUCUUUGAAGUUUAAACCAUAUUUUACCAUCUGACUCCACUUCCCAAGGGGAUCGCAGCUGAAUAAACCCCACAGUGUUAUAUACAUGUUAUAUAAUGAACGUUCUGAUGUUCCAUAUUCAAUGGGGGGGGUCAGUGUUAUCUAUUAUACUUCAUUAGUGGCAGCCCUUUUGUUUUGCACUCAUUAAAUCUAAUUCAAACUUUGCUUUGAUUGCAGGAUGGUACGAAGUGCUCGCGCAGAACCCGUUGUGUGUUUUUCUGAGGACCCCGGAGUGUGUUGAAUAAGGGAGACGACACUGACUCACUGCACUCUCACCUGUUAUCACAAACGGAGAAUCCUUUCGGGGAUCCUUCCCUUGAAUUUGCAGCAAAAGCCCUCGGGCUACAACCGCUCUUCAAACAACAUAUUUUAUAAGAAUGCUCAAAAAUCCAUUAUGGUCUCUGUAAACUGUCAGCGUUCCUAUUCUGUUGACAAAUCUCCACCUGCAGACUGAACUGCAGUAAUGUGAGGACUAUUUAUAGACUGGGACCAGUCCACGAGUCAUCCAGUUGACUGAUUAGUUUGGUUAUCAGACUUACAGCUCAGACUGAAUUGUUAGAUGCUUCUAAUGGGGAGGUUCAUGUUUGGAAGGAUGAAAAAUUCAGUCUGAGACGGGCCAUGCUCUGGAGCUUUCCUCACCAGUGCUCCAAACUGGGAUGUGCCUGAAACAUGUUAACCCAAGGUACCAUACAGACUGGUCACAACCAGUCAGAAGUUGGUGUGAUUUUAGUCUUUUGCAUCUAAAAGUUUCAUUUCAGGACUAAAUUGAGUCCAAAAUGGUUUAUUUAGUUUGUUAUUUAUGGGUGAAGAUGGCAUCAGUGAUGCUUUAGACCGGAGGACAAUAAAGUAUCUGAUACUAUAGAGUUUCACUGCUUGUGUUUUAGAUUUUAAAUUAAUAAUAGUUCAAUAAUUACAUAUAAA